AGGGCACUCAAAGAAAAUGAUAGUAUUUUCAAAAUCUCUCCCAUGCAUCAUACAAAGAUUCAUCAUCCUGCUGUUGAAAAGAAUUGAUCUCAUUCCGGAUCUU
rfam:Daucus carota subsp. sativus cultivar DH1 chromosome 7, whole genome shotgun sequence.